UAACUGUGCUAAGGUAGCAUAAUCAUUUGUCUUUUAAUUGAGGGCUUGUAUGAAAGGUUGGACAAGAUAUUAACUUUCUUUAAUUUAAUUUUAAGAACUUAAUUUUUAAGUUAAAAAGCUUAAAUUUUUUUGUUGGACGAGAAGACCCUAUAGAUCUUUAUAGUUUUUAGUUUUAGUAAUUUAGUGGUUAAUUUAUCUGGAGUGAAAAAAUUAUUUUGUUGGGGUGACUGUAGAAUUUUAUGAACUUCUAUUUUUAUAUUUCAUAUGUUAGUGUUUUUUUGAUCCAUAUAUUUAUGAUUAGAAGAUUAAGUUACCUUAGGGAUAACAGCGUAAUUUCUUUGGAGAGUUCAUAUUGAUAAAGGAGUUUGCGACCUCGAUGUUGGAUU
rnacentral:rRNA from 1 species